CCUACGGGGAGCAGCAGUGGGGAAUAUUGGACAAUGGGCGAAAGCCUGAUCCAGCCAUGCCGCGUGUGUGAAGAAGGCCUUCGGGUUGUAAAGCACUUUCAGUGGGGAAGAAAGCCUUGGGGCUAAUACCCUCGAGGAAGGACAUCACCCACAGAAGAAGCACCGGCUAACUCCGUGCCAGCAGCCGCGGUAAUACGGAGGGUGCGAGCGUUAAUCAGAAUUACUGGGCGUAAAGCGCGCGUAGGCGGUCUGAUAAGCCGGUUGUGAAAGCCCCGGGCUCAACCUGGGAACGGCAUCCGGAACUGUCAGGCUAGAGUGCAGGAGAGGAAGGUAGAAUUCCCGGUGUAGCGGUGAAAUGCGUAGAGAUCGGGAGGAAUACCAGUGGCGAAGGCGGCCUUCUGGACUGACACUGACGCUGAGGUGCGAAAGCGUGGGUAGCAAACAGGAUUAGAUACCCCGGUAGUC
rnacentral:rRNA from 1 species